rnacentral:lncRNA from 7 species
GGCUUUCAGGAAAAUUUACUGGGUUCCACGUGAUCAAGAUUGACUGCUUCCUGAUGUGAGUUGGGUCACCUAGGAUGGAGUAUCUCCUGACGCUGCUCUGUGCUUCUGAUCUGAAGGUUCACCCUCUUUGUGUUCCUGAGGCACAGAGGUUACUGUCCUCCUUCCCUUGCCUGCACUGAAUUCCUUAGAGAGGGUUGAAGUCCCUGACGAAGCAAAACCUACUAAACAGUCUUUUCAGAAAAAAAUAGGCUUGAAAUGAAGACAGCACAUGGGAUUCUCUGAUGCUACCUACAGCUGUCCAGAUUAUGCACAUGCCAAUGUGAUACGUACAGGUGACAAAGCUCAACAUGCAAUCCCAUAGUGGCCUAAGUGGACUGACUACAGAGACUCCUUUGGAAAACUGCAAAAUAAAGCCUGAAGUCACUGCAAUUUUUUUUUCCUCUAAGAAAACAAAAAAGGAAUACUGUAAUUUUAAUCAGGAUUAGGAUUUGGCCCCAGGUUGUGACAGAACAGCUUUUGACCAAAUUCUAAUGUUGCGUUUCACUGCGUAAAAGCAGGAUCCUCCACUUUUAAACUAAGUUUCUACUCGUGUAGUGACACUACCAAUAGGUAUCUACCACUUUUGCUUCUCCAACCAUCCAAGGUUUGUAAGUGAGAUUAAGCUCCCCUGCCAAGCAGCACCUUUCUCUAACCUACAUGCACUUCACAUCUUAGCAUUAACAAGAAACAAUUAGAAGAGAAAUCUUUGUUUCCUUUUCCAUUCUGAUUAAGUAUGUAGAACAUCUGCUCUACUCAAAAUUCUAAUCUAGGCUUAAACCAUGCAGCAGCCUCAAAAUAAGCAAUGUAAAUUAUAUUUGAAAGACAGACCACUGCCAGCAUGGAGCAAACAGCAAUGUGUGGUAGGAAGGGCAGUGUUUGCAAGAUGUACUAUCUCUCUGCUGCUCUAAUGUCUCCAACGAGGAACCCAAGUUCCAUUCAAAGAGCAGCAAAAAACCCUCUUACCACACAUCCCCUAGGACUACUGAAGUGCUCAGAUCUGCAUCUUUGUCACUGUCUCUGCAAGUCACUAAUACCUCAUGAAGUAAUGAGAUGGUUUUUAAAAAAAAAAAGUCCCAGAAGAUAGCAGAAUAUUAAGAGAGAGUAUCUUUCACCACUGGCUGCCUUCUCCACCACAGGUAGAAGAAGACUAAAGUGGGAAGGAAAGAAUAUAGGUGAGUAACUUGGACUCACUCUGAAAGCUGGAAAGUUGCCUCUAUACACAUUACCCAGGAGAAGAAAUACAGUGCGCCAAACAGCAGGAGGCAGAACAAAGUAUGCCCAUAGUAAGUAUGUCUUCAUGCUGCUGCCAAACUUAGCAGAGGGCUGUGCAACAUGCAAGGUCGGACCCAAAGGUUGUUGCAAACAGAAAAUGAGACGCAGUCUAGGUAACACAGCCUAACUUCCAUGUUUCUUCCCAGCAUAACCACAAUGACCAGUGGCCUGGGGUAUUACCAGGCCAGCUUCAGAAGAGGGUAUUUCUUAGUCGUCCCCCCCCGCCCCAGUCUUCUAUGCGCACUGAAAACCAGAUUCUUCCUGUUACCAUGGUAUCGCAUCAUCGCUGGUGUCUGAGCACAAUUGCAGAUACAGAUAAGACACCAAACUAUGGCAAGGAAGGUGAAGAAAGGGACAAAAUUCAGCAGUCCAUCACCACACAGUUACAGUUAAGGAGACUGUGUAAUAGCUACAACUUCAGAUGGCAGAGAGCCCCGAACAAACUAACGCAGGCCAGUCUUGGAUCUGGUAUUAAUUAGUGUGUGAUACAUAGUCAUACUGUGAAUUUACACAGGAGUAUUAACACUUUUUUUUUGGAG